UACGAAGGGGGCUAGCGUUGCUCGGAAUCACUGGGCGUAAAGCGCACGUAGGCGGAUUUCUAAGUCAGGGGUGAAAUCCUGGAGCUCAACUCCAGAACUGCCUUUGAUACUGGGAAUCUCGAGUCCGGGAGAGGUGAGUGGAACUGCGAGUGUAGAGGUGGAAUUCGUAGAUAUUCGCAAGAACACCAGUGGCGAAGGCGGCUCACUGGCCCGGUACUGACGCUGAGGUGCGAAAGCGUGGGGAGCAAACAGG
rnacentral:rRNA from 1 species